GAACUUUGUGCUUAUCUUACUUGAAGUUCAUUGAGCCUCUCUAGGUAGAUUAAGGUUUUUCAUCAAAUUAGAAAGCUUUAGACCAUUAUUUCUUCAAAUAUUUUUCUGUACCUUUCUCUCUCUGCUUUUCUUGUAGAAUUCCCAUUGUGUGUAUGUUAGUACACUUGAUGGUGUCCCACAGGUCACUGAGACUCUGUUCAUUUUUCUUUAUUACUUUUUAUUGGAUAAUUUCUAUUGAUCCAUCUUCAAGUUUGGUGAUUCUUUCUUCUUAUAUUAUCUCAUCUCUGCUGUUGAGCUCCCCUAGUACAUUUUUAAUAUUAGAUACUGACAUUUCCAACUCUAUAAUUUCUAUGUACCUCUUUUUAAAAAUUUCUGUCUCUUUAUUGAUAAUCUGUAUUUGAUGAGUCAUUGUCAUCAUACUUUCCUUUAAUUCUUUAAAUAUGGUUUACUUUAAAUUACUUGAACAUAUGUAUAAUAGCUGUUUUGAGGUCAUUGUCUGCUAACUCCAACACCUGGGCACCUCAAGAGAUAGUUUCUACUGACUGCUUUUUAUCUUAUAUGUGCAACACAUUUUUCUGUUUCUUUGCAACUCGCAUAUUUUUGUGGAAAACUGGGUAUUUUAAAUAAUAUAUUGUAGCAAUUUUGGAUUCUGGUUUUCCCACAAUCUUGGGUAUUGUUCUUGGUACUGUCUUUGUUUUUUUGUUUAGUGGUUUUCCUGGACUAAUCCUUUAGUUUGUCUCCCCAUGAAUGUGGCUGCUAAUGUCUCUGCUCAAUUUUUUAAAAAUUAUUGUUGUUGUUUUUAUUUUGAAGCCUGACUUCCUCAGAGUCAUCCCUUGUUCAGCAGAGCACAGUGAUCAUGUAAUUAUUGGUCAGAGUUUGCGCUCAAACGUCUUGAUCCAGUAAGCUUUCCAACCUUUGCUGACAGAUCUGUUUAUGGGUUUGAGAUGCACUCAAAGUUCAGGCAGUUUACAUGUUUUCUUGGUUGUUACUUUCCUCAGGACCAUCUCAUGUUCUGUCUGUAUGUGUUCCAGCUUCUUGUUCAACCAAGGAUGUGUAGAUAGCUAGGGCCCUCUCUGUUCUUUCCUGAACAUGCUCAUACCUUUGCACAUGUGCACACUCUUCUAUACUUUCAGGUAUACGGAAAAGCUUAUCAAAGUCCACUAUGAAUAUCUCAUGACUUGGACCUCCUUGUUAAAUUUCUGGCUAGUCUGCCAGUCUUGGUUGCUCCAAGCAGUAUCUAAACUUUGAGCUAGCCAUGACAUUUCCUUUCUUGUUCAUUUGCCACUGAGAUUUCUACUUAUUUUCAGCAACACAUCUGAGCAUGGGGUCUUUCUGUGCACAGCUUUUAACCAAAUAAGCCACCUCUAGCAGGUGAGGUGCUGGUUUUUAAGGUAUGCUUUCCCUGGUAGAAUUACUGCAUUGACUAAGCUGGGGGAUGGGAAAAUGAAGUAGCCCCAGGCUUAAAAAUACCACACACUAUUUUUCUUACCUGAGGUUCAGUAGUUUAUCUUGAGUAAAUGCUUCUCAAUUUGUUGUAUGGCUUUGGUCAAUUUUCAGUCCUGAGAUGGUUGUUUUUGAUAAUUUUGUCCAGUUUUAUUAUUACUUUUUGGGGAGAGGAUUUGACAAUCUCCUCAUUCUGCCAUUCUGGAAAUGAAGAAGCUGACAAAUCUGAAAAUUACUGAGCACACUGGCAAAUCUCUUAAUUGUAGAUUUAUUUUAAAACAUUUCAUAUAGAUUCAGUUGCAUACCCAAGUUGUAUAACAAUUAUUGAAACACCAGGACUUAGAAAAAUUGUUAUUAAUAUUAGAAAAACUUCUCUUUACAUCCUGGAAAAUUUAUUAGUUCAAUGGCUCUCAAUCUCCAUUGUUUAAUCUCUCUCAGACUUUAAUCCCUAACUUUAAAAGUGGGUCUGGGGAAGAUGGGAGUGCAGAAUACUAUUAUGGUAAAAAUUACAUGCAAUAUUUAUGCAAAUGUGUUUUGAAAAUUGAAAUAUUCUAUACAAGUGUUACUGUCUUAAAUGUGUUGGGGGCUAUGCUGGGUGCUGAGGAAUCAGAGUGGACAAUACGGAGGUAGUCUCUGACCUCAUGGAGUUGACUGCCUGGUAGGGCAACCGGACAGUAAUUAUGUAUGUUGGAAUUUGAAUACAACCAUAAACAAUAACUCGUUCUUCUCCUUUAAAAUUUAAGAGAUAAGGCACAGGUGUCAGAUGGAAAUAAAAAAAUAUGUUUUAUUAUUGAUAAAACUGGAAAGGCUGACUCAAUCUGUGCCCACAAUAGGGAUCCCUAAUAUGUACUCCUACUAUCCCCCUCAAGUGCUCCCAUUCAGCCAACUCAGGAAGAGCUGGUGAAGGGUGAGUAGAGGAGGAGAAUGUCCAUAGGAGGAGAUGCCCCAAAGAGAGGAAUACUGUUGGGGUCUGAACUGCUUGGAUGCAUUUUUUUUUUCAAUCCAUCUCUCCUCAGACUAUUGGAAGUGAGAGGAGAAGAUUCCGUUAAGAGGGUGCCUGAGAAACUGCAAAGCUUAACGGUUAAGCAGAGGAGGGAGGAGUCUGUCUAAAAGGCAAACCAAGAGUGUUUAGUUCCAGAAGCCUAGAUAAGAGAUGGUUUCUACACACAAGAGUGUAGUCAGUAGUGGAGACUGCCACAGAGAGACCCAGCAUGAUGGGAAGGACCACAGGUGUCCACUGGAUUGACUGAGGACAACAGUGGGAGCAAUUCCAGUGAAGUUAUGUAGGCAAAUACUAGAUUGAAGUGAACUGAGGAAGGAGUGAGAUAUGAGAACGUGGGGACUGUAAGUGAAGACAAUUGUUUAGGGCAAGUUUAUCUGUGAAGGGAGCAGGAAGACAGGACAGUACCUGCAGGGAAUCAGAUGGGAGUGGUGGGGGGUACAGCCUGUGUAGAGGAUUAUUUGUACUGGUGUUGGUGGUAGUUUUGAUUGGUGUUGUUGAUGGGGAUUUCUUAGGUGCUUUUAAAUAUGGGAAUGGCAUGAACUGUUGAAAAGGGGAAAAUACAAGCAAAAUGUCAAAGACAGACAGCGGUGGGGGUCGACAUGUUAGUGGUCCUUGGAAUGAAGAAGUGGGAUGGGAUCCAGAGCAGGCAAAGAGGAGCUAGCUGCAGUCAGAAGAGGGACCACUCUUUCAUUGUAAUGGGGAAAAGGAAGAGGAGAUUUUAAAAAAGACACAAGGGGGAGUGCCGAUUUGGUGGUGCAAAGGUGAGAGUGCUCCAUGUGACGGUUCCUAUUUUCUCUGAGAAGGAUGCAAGGUCAUACAUUGAGAGUAAGGGGUUGAACAGGGUCAGAGGAUGGAGUAGACUGGAGACCAUAAAGCCAAGUGAGGGAGAUUCCCUCCAGACACUCUAAAGUCUGUGCUUCCACCUCUGUUCUUCUUUAAAACCACAUAUCAUGGGUACCUAUGACACUGAUUUUCACAGCCAGUUUUUUUAAGUGCAAGAAUUUUGCAAUAUGAUAUAAAUUUGAUGAAUCAUUGAAUAGUUCUUUGUGUUCUGUUUCUCAUGCUCCAUCACUAACCCAGCCAAGAUUUUCAUUAAAAAAAAAUUUCCAGACGUUGUUUAUCAAUCCAGGAGCUUGGCAAGAAAGGUCCACCUCUGUUCACACAUGGGACAGACAAGACCAGUUUCUGACUGCCAGUAACUUUUACAAAAGGAUGCUCACCUUUGGAACCAAGACACUAUUAUGUGAGGAAGCCCAAGCCACAUGGAGAGACCCACACGGAGGAACAAGGCCUUUGCCAACAGGCAGCACCAAUUAGCUAACUACACAAAUGAGCCACCUUGAAGGUGACUCCUCCAGCCCCACUCUAGCCUUCGAUGACUGCAAUCCUGGCUGACAUUUCACUGAACCUUCCUCAGAAAGCUCAGGCCAGAGCCACCCAGCCAAGGUGCCUGGGAUUCCUGAUCCACAAGAAACCAUUUGUGGUAAUAGUUAUAUUUUGUUGUUCUAAGCCCCUAUGUUUUGGGGUAAGUCACUAGGAUUUGUUUUGUAGCAUCAGAUAACUGAAAUGAAUGAUAAUAACAAAUUUAACAAAUACUAUUUAAACAUCUACCUCUGCCUGGGUUCUCAGUGCCUAGCACUGAAUCUAGGGGAACUAGUUUGAAGUAGUAAUCCUGAAAUCACUAAGCUACGGUGCCUUACACACAUCACAUGUAAUCCUCACAAAAAUCUUAUGCAGUAGGUGCUGAGAUUAGACCUAUUUUAACAGAUGAGGAAACUGAGGUCCAGAAGUCACACAGCUGGUAAGUGGCUGGCCUGGCACAAGAACGGAUGCAUUGCUAUCUCUGAGUCAUAUCUAAGAUGAUCUUCAGGAUCUAAAGAUAUCCUUUCCCAUUCCUCAGACUUCUUACCACAAUCUGUCCCAGCUCAGGAUACAUACAGGUGAAGGAUGGCAUGUCACCAACUAAGGGGGAUUAUCCUAUGAGCUUCUGGAUAACUUGCCACCUUUGCCCUUGCCCUGUCAACUAACUGCCCCACUGCCAGUCCACCUCAAUGUUGCUGUGCCUUUGAGGGUGUUGUCUGUGUCUGAAUUAAGAAGGUAGACUGUGGGAAGAAGAAGACAGAUCCUAUAGGGAGCAUCAUGCAUUAGGAAACAGAACACAGCUCUCAGGGUCCCCCAUUGGUGAUUUGUGCUUUAGCUGAUGUAAGCUGAGCCACUCAGAGCACCCACGGCUUCCACCCACCCAUGUGCUAAACCCCACCACCCUUUCCAAAAUUGUUCCACAGCCCCAUGCCCUUAGGAGCCUAGCAUUCCAAGCUUGAGGCUCUUUGGGGCCUCCACUUUCUUCCCAGGAGGGGUUUUCCAAUACAUGCCCAAUAUGCACGAGUUGGUACAUCCUUCCUUCCAUCCAACCCAUCUAUGCAGUAUGUUGAAGACACUUUCUGAAGCCUGUGGAGAUCAACCUUCUCUGUUUCCCAGCACUAAUUCACUUUUCAGCACUCUUCCUACAUUUGUUCAUUUUCCAUGGGAAUUUUGGAGAGAGAAAGUUUGACUUAUGGGCUUGCCAUCUUGAACCAUGAAUUGUAGAUUUUUAAUGGUAAAAGUAUCUCCUCUGAUGAGUAAGUUAAUUUGGGAUGGAGACCAGGGUUUUGGGCAGCCUGGCACAGAGAAGAGAAGCUGGGAGCGGCCCUGCCCAGGGCCUUUCUGACCUCACACCAAUUUUCCACUUGGCUGCAAAGUAGCAGCUCUCCCAAGAGAACAUGAGGACCUGGGGGCAAAGACUUGGGGUGUGGCCAUGGUUGGAAACUCUAGCUCUCUAGAUGGUUUUGCCUUUCACUGUGGUUAGAAAGGAUACAUAAAUAAAGAGUACUAAGUAUUCUAUGUCUUGAAGAUGCAAUUUUCCCGCCCACAGCUAAGGGCUACUAGCCAACAGCAGUUCCCUGAAACCAAGGAAAAGAUGGCCUGUGGGAACAUGAGUCAGUGGCCUUGGCCUUGGGGAGGGCUCCAGUUAGGAUCACUCAGCCUGUUCUUCCUCCCACCUCAAUCUACUGGAACCUGCGUGUCAGGAAACCCACGAUGAUACAGUAUUUAUGGAAGAGCACAUAGGUCUCUAAGGAACUACAGCGACAUUCUGGGAGUCAUGGUCUGCUCUGGGAAGUUUCAAUGUGAAUGAGACCAGUCUCAGGCUCAAUCCCUACACCAGCCAGUUCACUCUUCCCUGAUCUGUGACCGAAGGCUGUACUGUAUCCCCACCCCAACGGCCAUGUGCUACUGGCCUAAUCAUCUGUUGCCUCCCCCAGCCCAUGGUCUUCUCAACCAUGCAAGGAGACCCCAUCACCACUGGGGCCAGCUCAAAGAGGCAGAGUAGGUCUGGCCUCCAUAGCCCUCUGGCUUAAAGAGGAGUAGGAUCACCGGAGGUCUUGCUAAUGACCAUUUUGGACAAAUGACUUGUUUGUAGGCCUUGAAGCUGAGCCCAUACUCUGGCCCUUCUCUCAGAACUAGGAAUUCCAGAGCCUGUCCAAGGAGUCCUAGAGGCCUCUACUGGGGACCAUCCCCUACAAGUCAGGCUUCUCCCAGGUCCACUUGGAUUGGUGGGCUGCACCUGGGACCUGCUCUGGCCUUGCCUGUGGCCCCAACCCAGCCCUGUCCUCUUACACUCAGCUCCCAAUCUGAGAUGAACUUCUCAACCAGUAUCUCCACUGUUGCUCCCUCAGCUAAUAGCAUCCUUGGCUGUCCACACUCAGCACUAACUUGACAUUGUGCAGCUGCCUGACCUUCUGGACUAGACCUUCCCUGGUUUUUAUAAAUCAAAGAGCAUCUUUCGGUAAAGGGAUGAUGGUGAACAUUUAUAAAUGUCCCACAGACACAGGCCAUCAAUAGCAAUGACGGCAGUGGGAGGGCAGCCCAGCUCCUGCGGGUUUCCACCAAACAGGAAAACAGGCUCAGGAUUGUCAGAUGCUCACAGUAUUUCAAGAGCCAUGAGAAAUCUGGAAUUUUCUGUGAAGUCUCCUGCUUUUUAGUUGUUAAUUCAUUAAUAUUUUAAAACAUGGUGAGAGGCCCAGGCGUGGUGGCUCACACCUGUAAUCCCAACACUUUGGGAGGCCGAGGCCAGUGGAUUACCUGAGGCCAGGAGUUCAAGACCAGCCUGACCAACAUGAUGGAACCCUGUCUCUAGUAAAAAUACAAAAAAAUUAGCUGAGCAUGGUGGUGCACACCUGUAAUCCUAGCUACUCAGGAGGCUGAGGCAGGAGAAUCACUUGAAUCCAGGAGGCCGAGGUUGCAGUGCGCCGAGAUCGCACCAUUGCACUGCAGCCUGGGCGACAGAGCGAGACUCAAAAAACAAAACAAAACAAAACACGGUGAGAGCCAACCAAAACAUAUCUGCGAACCUAACCCAGGACCACCAUUUGUGACCUCUACUAGGAGUACAGCCAUUUGUUUAGUAAUAAUAAUGAAAGGGAUGAUGUUAAUAAUAAAAGGUAUUGAGUGUUCACCAUGGGCCAGACAUUAUUCUAAGUGUCUUAUAUGGGUAUCUGUUUUCAACCUCACUACAAUAUUAUGAGGUCUAUAGAAACUAUUAUCAUCAUAUUUUGUUCCAAAAAAAUAGUGACAAGUAACCUGAAAAAGGCUAAGGAAUGUGUCCAAAUUCAGACACCUAAAAAAUGUCAGGACUGGACCCAGCCCCAGCAGCGCAUGGGGCCAUGACCAAAGCACCAUGCCUCAUUCCUCACAAGCACAGGAAGGAAUGGGGAGGGGGUUUGUUUUAAGGGCUAGGAUAUAUUUUUUUCAAAAACACUCCUAUAAAAUACACAAAAAUGCAAACUGGUCCCUCUAGACAGGUAGGACUCUAAGUAACUUCUUUCUUUUCUUUUGUUUCCAAAUAUUCCUUUAUAUUUUUUAAACAAAUGUGGUAGGAUUAUUAGUAAAGGCCUGCAUAAGCCCUGGUCUGUCUCUGUGUCCCCCCACCCUGGGAGGAAGGUCACCCUCUCAGCUGAGUUCCCCAACUCCUUGGUGAUACAACCUUGCAGCGAGGAACAAGCACUGUGGGUCUUAGUCCCAGUGACUGAGUGUGUGCACGUGCAUGUGCCUUUGUGUGUGUGUGUGCAUGUGCGUGUGUGUGCAUAUGUGAGCAUGUGUGUGCAUAUGCGUGCAUGUGUGUGCGUGUGCAUGUGCAUGCAUAUGUGCAUGUGUGUGCGUAUGUGUGCAUGUGUGUGGGAUCAUGUGUGCGUCGGUGCAUGUUUGUGUGUGCAUACGUGUGUGUGUGCAUGUUUGCACGUGUGCAUGUGUUCAUAUAUGUGCAUGUGUGCAUGUGUGCAUAUGGGUUGCAUGUGUGCAUAGGUGUACGUGUGUGUGCAUGUGUGCAUGUGCACGUGCAUGUGUGUGUGUGUGCAUGUGCACGUGCAUGUGUGUGUAUGUGCAUGUGCACGUGCAUGUGUAUUGGGUGUGCAUGGGGGCUGGAUAUGCAGAUGUGUAUUUUGGAAAGGUGUUCCAGAUAAUUCUGCUAGCCAGAUGGCAUUUUGGCUGAGAACAAUUAUUUUAAAAGUAAAUAUUAAAUCUAAUCUUUAAUACCCCUAAGACAUCUAUUCUUACAAGAAAUGAAAAACCUUAUUUUAUUCACUCUGUUAUCAAAGUAGUUUGGGCUCCUUCAAGAAGAUUUACAAGAUACAAAAUGUAGAAGGAAAAGAAAAAUACACAAAACACCAUAACAUAACUACUAUUUAUACUUUAGUUCUUUCCCCCUUGGUCUUUUAUGUAUUCAUAAAUAACUGUGUGUGUGUGUGUGUGUGUGUGUGUGUGUGUGUUGUCCAAAUGUACAACUAACCUAGUAUCUUCCUUUUUAAAUUUAAUAUAUCAUAAGUGCUUUUCCAUGUUGCUAAUAUUAUUUAUUGGGAAAAUUGUUUAAUGACUCUAUAAUAUUCUAUCAAGUGCAUUUGUAAUAAUUUUUCACCUUUCCUAUGAUUGACUAUUUCAGGGUUUUUCUACUCAAGUUGAUUAUUAUAAAAAUGGCAAAAUAAAUCUUUGCCUAUUUUUUCAUAUUUUUUGUUUAGUUUUCAGAAUAGAUUCCAAGAGAAGAAAUUAAUGAGUGAAAGCAUAUGAACAUUUUUAAUCUCAUAAAACGUGCUGCAAAAUGUAUUUCCAAAAAAGUUGAAGAGAUUUCUUUUCCCUCCAACAAUGUAUGAAGGUGCCUAUUGUAUAUACCCUCACUAGCUUUGGGCAAUCUCACCUAAGCACAGCGGGGAGAAAAGAAAAAACAAGCUGCUAUUUUAAAACAAUUCCACACAACAAGAUGUACGGUGUGAUGGUACUAUCCAUCCACAUAUUUCAACAGGAAAUCUCCUUCCCAAGCCCAAGGUUUAUAGUUGUUUAAUCAGGUGAACUGAAGCAAAUCAAAGAAACAAAAAACCUAAGGUCCACUGAUAGUUGAGCCAUCCUAAAUCCUAUGGAUUAGGACAGCUUUCCCUCAGCAUGACGAAUCCUUUCCCUUCCUUAGAGCUGUGUCUGAGGCUGGCACUGAGCCGCAGGCACAGGGGCAGGUGGCCGUCUGCUGGGCUCUCAGGCCACGGCCUGCGGUCGACGGGCAACCCCAGCCUGGGGGCAGCCUGUCACUGGGACCAGGCCCCACUCAGCUCCCAUGAGCUGCAUGAGAUUUGUCAAGUGUACUUUGUACUCUGGACCUAGAGUGGCAGGAACGCAAGAAAGUGGGGAAGAGGGGCAGGAGGGGUGGCACUACUGGACUCUGACUACAGUGGACAGAGGUAAAAUGCAGCUUCGGUAAAGGGACUGGAGAGUGUCUCGCCUUUCCCACACAGGCAGAAUGUUGAGGGGUCCAAGGCAGAACACACAGUGACAAAUGGACCUCAGGGACAAAGGGGAGGGCCGAGUAGCAGUGACGCCCUGGCAGCAGUGAAUGCACCUAGUGCCCAGGCCUUGGACUCUAAAUAACGAUCUCCAGUUAAAGGAACCAGGGCUCCUGGGAGAAAUGGCUGACACCAGGGCUGACACUGGGAAUGAGCAAGAUUAGCCAGGAAUAUUUUGUGGUGCUAGAGAGUAAGAAAGGGAUCCAAAAAUGACAGGGCCAUGCCAGAACAGGGGCCAACCGGAAGGCUCCCCCAGUGACUGAGCCUGGGAUACGCAGAGCAACAAAAUGUAUAAUGAUGGCAACACAUGACAGUUCCUAGAAUCUAGAAAACACCCCUGAGUCCACAUGGAUACGAAGAAUAACUGAAUAAAUAAACAGGAGGGGAAGUUCAGCUCUAACUUCCAGUAGAAUUCCAGUAGAAAGAAUGAUGGAAAUAGAAAAAUCAUUACUCGGCAAACACCGUAGUACUCAUUAUUGCAGGCAAAGGUCGUUUGAUGGAUGCUAAAAUUAGUGAGUGAAAGAUUGAUGAAGAACAGAGUAUUUAUACAGCCUCUAAGUAUCCCCCAACCAGAUACUUACUGAUUACAAAGGGAAGAACAGAAACUUUACAGUGGAGAAACCUAGCGGACACCACUUGAACCAAAUCGAGUUACCAUUACUGGUAAUAAGACAUAUUGACCUCACGUACCCACCAAGCACAAUGCACUGAGAAGGGCACAGCGUUGCUCCUGGGGUACCCUUGGCAAAAAUGCAUAAUUUCAGCGUCACAAAGAAAAUAUCCGCAAAAUAACAGAUGGGCUUUCAUCAUUGGUGUGAAGAUUAUAAAAGGCAAAGACUGAGAACUGUCCCAGAUUAGAGGACCAGGGAGAUCUGACAACUAAACGUGGGCUUCUGGAUUGGAUCUGGGACCAGCAAAAGGCCACAGGAAGGACACUGAUGAAAUCGGAAUGAGGCCUACAGAUUAGUUAACAGUGUUUUAUCAGCGUUAAUCUCAUGUUAAUAAUUGAACUAUUGGUUAUCUUGGUAUUAACAUUUGGGGAAGCUGGCAGAAGAGUAUAAUACAAUUUUUGAACUAUUUUUGUAAUUGUAAGUCUAAAAUUAUUUCAAAAUAAAAAGCCAAAAAAGAAAACAAAAAGUGAUAGAAGCAAUUAAUUGCUGCCACAACCAAAUACUGUGUUUAGCUUUACUUCUUCCCCUCCCUUUUACAAGAUACUAUUUUUUUCAAUAAAUUAUGUAUUAAAGACAUUUUAACAUCGAAAACCAUCAAAGACAUCACUCCUCACAAGGCUAUGGUCUACAGUAAUUGGCUGUUUUCCUUUCUCUCCAUGUCUAUCUUGAAGAGGCGACAGGUUUUUAAGGCAUAUUUUGGACGGGCAUUUAAGGAAGUCCUGUGCCCUCCCAGGGCCCCGGUGGGCAGCACUAUAGUGGUCAGUCGGUUUUUCUGACUGCCAAGAUCUUUUACCUGCUUAACGAAUAAUGUGCUUAUUUGUUCCUUCGUUUUUAACUUUGUAUAAAAAUCACAAAUUCCAAAUUAUCUCCACCUGUAAAAAGAAUUAACUAUCUCCUUUUUUUUUCAGAACUUUCUUCACUUGUUUUGUUUUGCAUCAAUCAAUUAACGUUCUAUCUGUCUAUACACAUGGUUCUUUUUCUUCCUCAAAAAUGUCAUUGGAACAAACAAUAUUGACUGCAUAAUGGUUCAAAAACACAGAAAAGCACAAAGAAGAAAAUUAAAAUCCCCUGUACUGUUUCCCCUGGAGACAUCCAUAGCAAUACUUUAUUGAAAACGUAUUCCCACGUCAUUAAUCUAAAACGUGACUUUAAUGGCUGCAUAUUGUUCCAUUUUACGGAUUGACGACUUACUCAAACUUCUAUUGCUGAACAUUUAAAUUGUUAGAAAUCUUUUCCUACUACAGAUAACAUUCUAAAAUGACUGUUUCUGGUUUGUAGAUAUUUUCACAUCUCUAUUUAGAUGGAGUCUUAUAGUUGUAAUUAUAGUAUUAAUAAAUAUUUACUUGUUUAGGAUAUCAACACCCUUCAGAAAGAUGGUCUUUUUUGAGUCUUCAUUCUUGGUACCUUCACCAAAUUAAUUACUAUUUUAAAUCCUUGUCAAAUUUAUUUGCUAUGGCUAUGUUAUUUAACAAUUUACCAAGCACCCUUUAUUGAAUAGUAUUUCUUUUCUCCACUAAUUUAAACUAUUAUUUCUGUCUUGUCCUAAAUACAUAUGUGUACUUGAUUUUAGAUUUUUCUCUUCAUUUUCUCUUGUUUUUUUUUGCAUCAGUAUCACUAUAUUUUAAUCAGUAUACCUUUGAUAUAUUUAGUUCAGUAUUUGACAAUGCCAAUAUCCCCUCAUUAUAAUUUGAUAAAAUAUCACUUUCUUGACUAUUUUUAUCUUUUCUUUCCUAAAGAUAAAUACUGACAUGAUUUUGUAGUUUCAAUUUUUUUUCACUGGGAAUCUGCUUUUGUUAAUCACUUUGAGAAAAUUGAUAUGUUAACAAUACUUUGUCCUUCCUCAGGUCAUGUGGGUUGGUCCCUUCCUUAAAAACUAACAAAAUGGAGUUUAUUUUAAAAUCUCGGGAGUAAACUUAGCUUGAAGAGACUACAUUUUUCUCGGGGUAAACUUAGCUUGGAGGGACUACAUUUUUCUCGGGGUAAACUUAGCUUGGAGGGACUACAUUUUAGUGGUGAGCCUUAGAACUAAAAGUCAUCUAAAGUCAACAGGAUUAACUAGAGAAAGGUCAAACUGAGCUAAUUAUAUAAAUCUUUGACAUGCUGUCUUGAUUAAAAAAGAACUUAAGCUAGCAUUUAUAGGCACACUUAGGAAAGUUAGUCUAGAAUCUCACAAGAGUGUGCAAUCAAGACAUUUUCAGAGAUUUGUCUGUGAGUUCCUACAGCUGAAUUAGGAGCUGGUCAAUUAGUUCUCCCAGCUGAAGGUCAGCUUCAGUGUCAUGAACAAUUAAGCCAGGGCUGUUGGAUCACUUGAGUAAAAUAUGAAGUACAGACAAUUUGAGAAUGAGCUAAUAAGGGAGAAGCUCCAACUGGCUAUGGGUUUUAUCAUAAGAUGAAGCAAUGAGCAAAAGUCUAGAUGUCAAGUUGGAUUUUAAUUGCAUUUAGUCCCUAAUCUCUGAAUUUACUGUUUGGCAUAUACUUAAAACUACAGAUGAUUUCUAUCACUGAGUUUCCACUUAAUUUUCUUGCUCAUUUACACUCUCUAGGGGUGCUGCAGAUUACUGUGGUUCAGUUAAUGGGGACAAAUUUCUGUUCAACUGCAGCCCCAGGCCUGAGGCAACCUCAGGCUACAAUAACCACCUGUAGAGAAAGGUGGGGAGGGUGCCUCAAGUGGAGCACAGCAAAUCUGUUGUGUCAGCUGCGGCUGAAGUCGGCCCCAACCAGGUCAGCUGGCAAUGGGAGAUAAAGGCUCAUCACCCUAGCUGGCUACAGAAGUCCAGGGCCAAUGGCAACCAGAGAGGAAACUGCUCUGGCACAAGACUUCCAAGUCCUUGCUCCUGCUGACUAAUUGCAGUUCCCACCUUGCACAUCAAAUUGCAUUAAAUAUACCAAAAAGAGAGGUCAAGAAUUUUUGAAGCUGCUUAUUCUUUUACCUGAGAUGAAUUUCCCUUUGUAAGGCUAAAAGAAGCAUUGAAAACUCAUCAGUUUUGGCAAAUGGAACGAUGGCAAACAACCCAUUCGGGAAAUUUGAACCUGUGUGAAACAGAGCUCUUUCAAGAAACAAAAGAAAACUUACAGAAAAGAAAUCAAGGUUAAGAAAUUUGAACUGUAUAUUCUAAAAGAGAUUUGAGGAGAUAAUAUUCUUUCUUCAUGACUGUUGCACUGAUGCAAUCUGAAAAAAAAAGAGAAUUCUUAAAGUAUUACAUACCCAACUAAACUACCAAUAAAGGAGGAAGGCAAAAUAAAGACCUGUUAACAGUCAAAAAAUCAGAAUAUUGUCUUCUAUAUGUAAAUCAUGAGGAGAGGAAAAUGUGAUUAGCAAAAAUUCCUGCAAAAAAAAAAAAAAAAGA